AUGAGGUGGUUCAAGAAAGAACAGCCCAGCACCCACGUCGCGGGUGCCUGGCCGGCGAGCUUCCUGGCUUGUGUGACGUCAUUAAUGGAGGUUAGUGACAGUCAUCAACCCACUAGUUGGUCGAUUCCAGCGCAAUGGAAACUGGACCCACCUCGACUCUGGCUUGGAGCGGAGAUUCCGAAUCUUGCGAGUGCGCGGGGUCCGCGGUUUGCGCAUGAAGAUGUCCAGCCUGGGCUCUCGCACGCGGGCUUGGUUUUCAGGUCAGUGAAUAAUCCCUGGGUGAGUGGGGGUCCCCUCUGGAACUCCACGUGGUCCUCGAUGGAUGCUACGUGGCCUCGUGGCCGUCAGUGGGGCCUGUGUGGACCCCUGGGCCCCGCGGCCGUAGGAGGGUGCAGUGACGCGGCCUCACGCCUUCUUUUUCAGAUCGGGAGCGACACUUCACAGACGGUGGAGGAAAACGUCCCAGUCCUUAAGGCCAAGGUGACAGAAAUGCGUGGCAUCUGUGCCAAAGUGGACGGCUGGAGGCAUCACCCGCGCCAGGGCCCCCUGUGUCCGGGCCCGUGCUCUACAGGACUGAGGACUAUGUUCCCGUGGACGCCAAUCCCGCUGAGCCUGUCACAGUCCCCCCGAGGGGACAGCUUCCUGCUGUUGUCUGAGUUCUCCAGGUUCUGAAAUCCUCAGGGCCCAGCAGACACCGCACCCUCACACUGCAGAGCAGAGUCAGAAGGUCAAGGAAGUGUGAAUCUGACAAGAUGGCCCUGGACAAGCAGGAACGAGUUGAGUGGUGCUAAUGUUUGGGAAAUCUCUGGAAUUAAAAGAGAGAGGUGGGUCCCGUGUUUCAGGAAGAGUCAACAUUUUUCUCUUGGGACCACCUUUAUGGAAGUAUAACACACAUUAUAGAAAGGGGCCCCUGUGCCAGUCACUGUGGUGCAGGCCUGUACUCUCAGCGACUUGGGAGGCUGAGGCAGGAGGAUCACAAGUUCAAGGCCAGCCUCAGCAAAUUAUCAAGACCCAGUCUCUAAACAGUCUCUAAAUAAAAAAUAAAAAGGGCUGGGGAUGUGGCUCAGUGGUUAAGCAUCUCUGGGUUACACACACCCACACCCACACCCACACACACACGAGAAAAAAGAACAAGGCACCUGAGUGUGGAGCACUAGCUGCCCACACGUGGAACACAUUUGUGCAGCCCAACCAAUGCUGCCGGCACCCAGAGCCCCCUGGGGCCCCUUCCUGACAGUGCUCCCUGCAGGCUGGGUGUCCUCCUGUGCUGGCCUGGAGGCUGGAGGGCACAUGCACCCAGCACGUUGGCUUUGUCACUGGACCUGGAUCUGCAGGACUGUCCCUGCUGCCCCGGGGGGCUGCAGUGGCCAUGUUGUAUGCACUCUCCGCACCCCAUCUGCCCAGGGACAGUGGAUUGGAUGGGAAGCUAAUGUUGCAGACAAGCAGUUAGACACCACUCUCGAAGGCCAAGUACAGACACCAGCCUCUUUCCCCUCCAGGGCCUGACCCAGGGACCAGGGAAGGCUGGAAGGGAUGCCAUGUGACCGAGCCAUAGCAGUAGAAGGUCCUAAAACAGAGACGGGCAGGGCCUGGCAGGAGGGGAUCCUGCGGGCGGCGCCUUGCUCUGUGUGCAGCUUAGCGGUUGGCCCGAGCCUGGCUGCUUCCUUCCUGGCCACAGCCUCCUCUUCGGGAAGACCCACGAUAAUGGCUCCUGCCUGCUGGCUGUGUGUGCUCGCCCAGCGCCAGCAAGCGUGGCUGUUGUGGUCAGUGGGCGCGGCAGGGAGGACUGUGUGCUGUUUCUCAGGUGAGCAGUGGCACCCAAGGGUCUCAACAGCGAGUGGCUUAGGGACUGCCCUUAAAGGUCACAGAACAAGUCGUGGAAGGGUGAGGUGCUAGGAUGCACCAGUUUUCCCGGAGUCUCCGAGGACUCUCCCCAGUCAUCCAGGAGGGUGAGGUCACGUGAGAACGUCUGUGUGGAAGAGGCCACCAAUGACCUGAGGUGGCUGUUCCAGUUUCCUGGUGUUGAAUGGCAAAAGGACGCCUGGGGAGAGGGAAGCCAGGACAUGGAGCCCGCCAGGAAUCCCAGCCCAGUCCCUCCAGCUCCAGGGGCCCUGGCCUGGCGCAGGCCCCUGGUGUGUCCACUGUCAAGUGAGUGGAGUCCUUGACUGCCCACUUCCACAGGCCCCCUCCCAGAGCAAGGGCCGCUGCAGCCCGGGACAGGUGGCUUUGUUUGUGGCUCUUCCUGCACAAGAUCACCAGUAGAAAGGUCACUGCAGAUUUUCACAAGAGCAAGGCUCCUGGGUCAGCCACCUUUCCACCUUCCUAGGGUGUGGACUUCAUGUCCACCCAAGUAAGAGGUGUCCGGAAGGCCGCUCACAGGGUCGGAUCCGGCGGACAGAAACGUGGGGUUGGCUCUGAACUGUUUUAGAGUGUUUUUCUGCUGGGACAACUGGAUAACCAUCUGGAAAAAAUAAAGUGAGCUCCACACCUUACUCAGCACGGCUGGCACAGUUCCAGAAUCCCAAAUGGAUCCAGGAGCUGAAUGUAUAAAAGGCAUCUAAUUAGGAAGCAGGCAGAUACACUGGAGAGGGGACAAAACCCAGAAGCCAUAAAGGAGAAAAUCUUAAUUAUACAUA
ensembl:lincRNA